CAGCAGCCGCGGUAAUACGUAGGGUGCAAGCGUUACUCGGAAUUACUGGGCGUAAAGCGUGCGUAGGUGGUGGUUUAAGUCCGUUGUGAAAGCCCUGGGCUCAACCUGGGAAUUGCAGUGGGUACUGGAUCACUAGAGUGUGGUAGAGGAUAGUGGAAUUUCCGGUGUAGCAGUGAAAUGCGUAGAGAUCGGAAGGAACAUCUGUGGCGAAGGCGACUAUCUGGGCCAACACUGACACUGAGGCACGAAAGCGUGGGGAGCAAACAGGAUUAGAUACCCGGGUAGUCCCUGUCUCUUAUAC
rnacentral:rRNA from 1 species